rnacentral:rRNA from 1 species
AUUGAACGCUGGCGGCAUGCUUUACACAUGCAAGUCGAACGGCAGCGCGGGCUUCGGCCUGGCGGCGAGUGGCGAACGGGUGAGUAAUGUAUCGGAACGUGCCCAGUAGUGGGGGAUAGCCCGGCGAAAGCCGGAUUAAUACCGCAUACGACCUGAGGGUGAAAGCGGGGGACCGAAAGGCCUCGCGCUAUUGGAGCGGCCGAUGUCGGAUUAGCUAGUUGGUGGGGUAAAGGCUUACCAAGGCGACGAUCCGUAGCUGGUCUGAGAGGACGACCAGCCACACUGGGACUGAGACACGGCCCAGACUCCGACGGGAGGCAGCAGUGGGGAAUUUUGGACAAUGGGGGCAACCCUGAUCCAGCCAUGCCGCGUGCGGGAAGAAGGCCUUCGGGUUGUAAACCGCUUUUGUUCGGGAAGAAAUCCUCUGGGCUAAUACCCCGGGGGGAUGACGGUACCGGAAGAAUAAGCACCGGCUAACUACGU